AUAAUGGUACUUCUGUCCAGUCACAGCCCUGGGUAACCGGGAUAAAGCAAUGAGGGCAGUUCGGAGAGAUCCUCGGGAGGGUGAAAUGCCCAUG
rnacentral:ncRNA from 1 species